UCUCGGAGGCCAACGGAAGCCCUUGCCGUCGGCCGUGCGUUGAGUCAGUGGAGUCCGUGGCAAGAAGUAGUCCGGAGAGAUGACCUCCAAUACCAGAGGAAGCGCCCGCUGAAGGUCGCACACGGAGUCAUGGAGGCCGGAAGAAACUACAGCAGCAGUCUGGACGGUGGACUCGUACGGUAUGAUAUUAAGGUUGAAAGUCGCAAAGCAAAAAAGUCACAAGUGAGGAAUUAUAAGACUAAUGUUUGCUAUCCAAACACAAAACUCUACGACCCAGUUUAUUAUUUUUCUAACCCAAACAAAGUUUGCUGUAAACACGUUUUCCAUAAAAAGGAUAGCAAAACCGAUUUUCCUAGAAAUCAGCUAAAAACUCGUUUUCUAUAAUCUUAUCACUAAUACUUACAGUAGUAUCCAAACUCUAGAAAUACGUGUAUUUUACUAGUAUAUGUUACUCUCCAUUGUGGCUAGUCUGACCGGAUCCGGUUCCUUUACACUUCACUCUCCGCCCGGCGACGAGCGAAAUCCCCACGAAAUCCUAGAUCUUCGCCGCGAGUGCAGCCAGCGGGAGAGCCGGCGACGAAUUAAUCCAUGGAGAAAGGCGACAGGCCGGCGAAGGGUCCCGCGGCAGUUCGACGGGGUGAGGGCGGUGCGCGCGCGCUCGAGGAGGAGAAGGUAGCGGCUACGGGAAGGGGGCGGGGGUUGGAGCUGGUGGUUCUGCGCGGGGCGGCGACGACCCCGGGGGGAGACGCGAGAUCCAGUGGCUUCGACGAACCCGAGGUAUGAUUGCAGCAUAUAUAUGCUACACAAUACCAACAACUGGGAUGGCACCCAUGUCCUGGAGUAUAGGCCAAAAGACAUAGCCAACAUGAGGAUGAUACUAAUGGCAAAAAUGGUGAAGAGUGAGCACAGCGAUGUCAACUGGGCAAAGAUGCUCAACAUCAAGAAGAAACAAGGUGUAAGACAAUAGAGAAGAUGCAAAUUCAGAGUCAGCAACUUUUAUCUAUAUAAUCCAGUUCUACAGGGUACAGGGGAUGUAAGAACAGGGAGGAAAGAUACAAGACAAGGUCUGCAACACUUUUGUACAGGGGCGCGGACGUACAGAGAGGGAAAUCAACUAGUUAUAGCAGUAAAAGAAGUUCAUGGCCAGAAAUUUCUGGAACAACACCUUUUUUACCUUUCCUGUUUUCACUGGGGGAAACUUGCCCAGCUACGCCAGUUCUCUUGCCCACGAUGCUUAAGAUUUAUUGCCUGAUCAGCACGAAAAAUUGCACACACAUUUUUGGAAAAAGCUUACCUUCAACCGACCGAUAACGCUCGCGCGUCCGCCGGCUUCACGUCCUUCGAAUCGUUUGUUGAUAAGAUGGAUGAGAGUGUCCCCCGCCUUCGUGUCACACGCAGUAGUUUUCUGAAACUUACCUAUUGUUUCAGAACACACUCAUGCAACUGGA